UCAGCUCAGCACGUAUCAGACAAUUCUUUGUGCUGAGUGUAACACUACACUUCAAAGAAGAGAACUAGAAACCAGAUCCCCACUCCACGUAUAUAGGGGAAAAACAAUAUUUAAAAUAGACGAAGAAAAUAUAUAAAGAAAAAGAAAAGAGAGAGAAAAGGGUGGGGAAGGCAAAAAUGGAGUAAAGGCUAUGGUUUCUCUUUGUCAAUAGAGAUCUGCUAAGAAAAGAUAAAUAUAUAUUUAAAAAUGUAGAAAUAAAAAUGGUUAUAUUGUUUUCCAAUAUAAUUUAUAUUUCGACUUUGAAUUUUAAAUUAGUAUAUUUUUAUUAUCAAACCAUCACCUCAUACUUGUCAAACCACCACCUCAGAUAGUAUGGUGGAAUUCUAUUUAUGCUAAUAUGUAUAUCUUUAGUAAAGUCCAGGGGGGGGGGGGGCACUUGCCCUCCUAUUCUGCCUCUGUGAAUGGGGGAAGAUUGUGGAUAGUAGAGCCGCAGUAAAAUCCAGUAACUCGAUCCUAAUGGGCGAAGCUAUGGCUGUGAGAGAAACCUGUUUCCUUGCUGCAUCAAUGGAGAAUCGGAUUCACAGUCUGACAUCAACAAGGAAAUGUAACUUAGUCGCUGACUAGUUAGCAAAGGCGCCAGAAAACAGAUUUGACCCCACAGUUGGGUAGAUUGUCUGCCUCCCUUCCUAGCUCUUUUGGUUUCUGGAGAUGUCGAAGCUGCUUCUGGACAUUUGUCCAUGAAAUGAAAUCAUUUCCGUUUGCUAAAAAAACAGAAGUUACUAUGUUCAAGUCAGAUACAUAUAGAUGUGCCAUAUCAGUAGAACACUUAUUUAUUUAAGGUGGAUGGAUUUAAUACAACUUUGUUUCAACAUGGACUUAUUAGAAUUUUCAUUUUACGUGCUCUAA